CGCGGGGUGGAGCAGUCUGGUAGCUCGUUGGGCUCAUAACCCAAAGGUCGUAGGUUCGAAUCCUACCCCCGCUA
rnacentral:tRNA from 2 species